UGGGGAAUAUUGCACAAUGGGCGAAAGCCUGAUGCAGCAACGCCGCGUGAACGAUGAAGGCCUUCGGGUCGUAAAGUUCUGUCCUCAAGGAAGAUAAUGACGGUACUUGAGGAGGAAGCCCCGGCUAACUACGUGCCAGCAGCCGCGGUAAUACGUAGGGGCUAGCGUUAUCCGGAUUUACUGGGCGUAAAGGGUGCGUAGGCGGUUUUUAAGUCAGAAGUGAAAGGCUACGGCUUAAACCGUAGUAAGCUUUUGAAACUGGAGAACUUGAGUGCAGGAGAGGAGAGUGGAAUUCCUAGUGUAGCGGUGAAAUGCGUAGAUAUUAGGAGGAACACCAGUAGCGAAGGCGGC
rnacentral:rRNA from 1 species